rnacentral:rRNA from 1 species
AGCAGUCGCCGCGGGAAUACGUAGGGUGCGAGCGUUAAUCGGAAUUACUGGGCGUAAAGGGCUCGCAGGCGGUUUCUUAAGUCUGAUGUGAAAGCCCCCGGCUCAACCGGGGACCUGCAUUUGUGACUGUAUAGCUAGAGUACGGUAGAGGGGGAUGGAAUUCCGCGUGUAGCAGUGAAAUGCGUAGAUAUGCGGAGGAACACCGAUGGCGAAGGCAAUCCCCUGGACCUGUACUGACGCUCAUGCACGAAAGCGUGGGGAGCAAACAGGAUUAGAUACCCCCGUAGUCCCUGUCUCUUAUAC